rnacentral:misc_RNA from 1 species
CAAAGAUUAAGCCAUGCAUGUGG